UACAGAGGUCUCAAGCGUUGUUCGGAUUCAUUGGGCGUAAAGGGUGUGUAGGUGGCGCCGUAAGUCGGGUGUGAAAUUUCGGAGCUUAACUCCGAAACUGCAUUCGAUACGGGCAGACUGGAGGUAUGCAGGGGAGAACGGAAUUCCUGGUGUAGCGGUGAAAUGCGCAGAUAUCAGGAGGAACACCGGUGGCGAAGGCGGUUCUCUGGGCAUGUCCUGACGCUGAGGAGCGAAAGUGUGGGGAGCGAACAGG
rnacentral:rRNA from 1 species